AAAACAUAGCCCUUGAAAAAAUCAAAGGUGUAACCUGCCCAAUGAUUUUAAAUUUCAUAAGAAUAAUCUUUUAUAAUAAAAUUUAAAGGACGCAGUAACCUGACUGUGGUAAUGUAGCAUAAUCAUUCGCCAUUUAAUUAAUGGAUAGUAUGAAUGGUUGAACGAAUUCUUCACUGUCUUAAAAAGAGAAAUCAUGAAAUUAAAAUAAUAGUUAAGAUGCUAUUUACUAUUGUAAGACGAAAAGACCCUAUAGAGCUUAACUACAAAUUUUUUAAUAAAAAGAAAUUUUUAAAAUUCUAAAACAAAAAGUUGGGUAGUUUAGUUGGGGCGACUAUCUUCUAAAAUUAACGAAGACAAGCAACAUUAAUAAUUAAUUUAUUGUAUAAUCCAUAAAUUUAACAAUUACAAAAGUAGGCUAUAAUGACCCGUUAUAAUCUAAUAAUAGAAAUAACGAUCAAUAAAUAAAAGCUACCUUAGGGAUAACAGGAUAAUUUUGUUCUAGAGAUCUUAUCGAAAACAAAGUUUGUCACCUCUAUGUUGAAUUAAGAUAUCCUGAUAGUGCAGAAGCUAUCAAAGGUAGGUCUGUUCGACCUUUAAAAUCUUACAUGAU
rnacentral:rRNA from 1 species